GGAUCAUUACCGAGUUAUCAACUCCCAAACCCCUGUGAACAUACCUGAACGUUGCUUCGGCGGGACCGCCCCGGCGCCCUCAGCGGCCCGGACCCAGGCGCCCGCCGGAGGACCCAAACUCUUGCUUUGCAUUAGUGGCAUUCUCUGAGUCUCACAAACAAAAAUAAAUUAAAACUUUCAACAACGGAUCUCUUGGCUCUGGCAUCGAUGAAGAACGCAGCGAAAUGCGAUAAGUAAUGUGAAUUGCAGAAUUCAGUGAAUCAUCGAAUCUUUGAACGCACAUUGCGCCCGCCAGUAUUCUGGCGGGCAUGCCUGUCCGAGCGUCAUUUCAACCCUCAAGCCCCCCUGGGUGCUUGGUGUUGGGGACCGGCCCUCCUCGAGGGCCGCCCCCGAAAUGCAGUGGCGACCUCGCCGCAGCCUCCCCUGCGUAGUAGCACAACCUCGCACCGGAGCGCGGAGACGGUCACGCCGUAAAACGCCCAACUUUUUUCAAGAGUUGACCUCGGAUCAGGUAGGAAUACCCGCUGAACUUAAGCAUAUCAAUAAGCGGAGGAAAAGAAACCAACAGGGAUUGCCCCAGUAACGGCGAGUGAAGCGGCAACAGCUCAAAUUUGAAAUCUGGCCCCCAGGGCCCGAGUUGUAAUUUGCAGAGGAUGCUUUUGGCGCGGUGCCUUCCGAGUUCCCUGGAACGGGACGCCAUAGAGGGUGAGAGCCCCGUCUGGUCGGACACCAAGCCAGUGUAAAGCUCCUUCGACGAGUCGAGUAGUUUGGGAAUGCUGCUCUAAAUGGGAGGUAUAUGUCUUCUAAAGCUAAAUACCGGCCAGAGACCGAUAGCGCACAAGUAGAGUGAUCGAAAGAUGAAAAGCACUUUGAAAAGAGGGUUAAACAGUACGUGAAAUUGUUGAAAGGGAAGCGUUUAUGACCAGACUUGGGCCCGGUGAAUCAUCCAGCGUUCUCGCUGGUGCACUUCGCCGGGCUCAGGCCAGCAUCAGUUCGUCGCGGGGGACAAAAGCUUCGGGAACGUGGCUCCCUCGGGAGUGUUAUAGCCCGUUGCAUAAUACCCUGCG
rnacentral:rRNA from 1 species